rnacentral:rRNA from 1 species
GACGAACGCUGGCGGCGUGCUUAACACAUGCAAGUCGAACGAUGAACCCGGAGCUUGCUCCGGUGGAUUAGUGGUGAACGGGUGAGUAACACGUGAGUAACCUGCCCUUGACUCUGGGAUAACUGCGGGAAACUGUAGCUAAUACCGGAUACGACCCUCGGCGGCAUCGCCAGGGGGUGGAAAGAAUUUCGGUCAAGGAUGGACUCGCGGCCUAUCAACUAGUUGGUGAGGUAACGGCUCACCAAGGCGACGACGGGUAGCCGGCCUGAGAGGGUGACCGGCCACACUGGGACUGAGACACGGCCCAGACUCCUACGGGAGGCAGCAGUGGGGAAUAUUGCACAAUGGGCGCAAGCCUGAUGCAGCAACGCCGCGUGAGGGAUGACGGCCUUCGGGUUGUAAACCUCUUUUAGUAGGGAAGAAGCGAAAGUGACGGUACCUGCAGAAAAAGCACCGGCUAACUACGUGCCAGCAGCCGCUGUAA